rnacentral:rRNA from 1 species
AACGAACGCUGGCGGCAGGCCUAACACAUGCAAGUCGAACGCACCGCAAGGUGAGUGGCAGACGGGUGAGUAACACGUGGGAACAUGCCCUUCGGUUCGGAAUAACUCAGGGAAACUUGAGCUAAUACCGGAUACGUCCGCGAGGAGAAAGAUUCAUCGCCGAAGGAUUGGCCCGCGUCUGAUUAGCUAGUUGGUGAGGUAACGGCUCACCAAGGCGACGAUCAGUAGCUGGUCUGAGAGGAUGAUCAGCCACAUUGGGACUGAGACACGGCCCAAACUCCUACGGGAGGCAGCAGUGGGGAAUAUUGGACAAUGGGCGAAAGCCUGAUCCAGCCAUGCCGCGUGAGUGAUGAAGGCCCUAGGGUUGUAAAGCUCUUUUACCUGGGAAGAUAAUGACGGUACCAGGAGAAUAAGCCCCGGCUAACUUCGUGCCAGCAGCCGCGGUAAUACGAAGGGGGCUAGCGUUGUUCGGAAUCACUGGGUGUAAAGAGCACGUAGGCGGAUCUUUAAGUCAGGGGUGAAAUCCCGAGGCUCAACCUCGGAACUGCCUUUGAUACUGG